rnacentral:rRNA from 1 species
CCUACGGGGGGCAGCAGUGAGGAAUAUUGGUCAAUGGACGAGAGUCUGAACCAGCCAAGUAGCGUGAAGGAUGACUGCCCUAUGGGUUGUAAACUUCUUUUAUAAAGGAAUAAAACGAGGCACGUGUGCCUUUUUGCAUGUACUUUAUGAAUAAGGAUCGGCUAACUCCGUGCCAGCAGCCGCGGUAAUACGGAGGAUCCGAGCGUUAUCCGGAUUUAUUGGGUUUAAAGGGAGCGUAGAUGGGUUGUUAAGUCAGUUGUGAAAGUUUGCGGCUCAACCGUAAAAUUGCAAUUGAUACUGGCAGUCUUGAGUACAGGUGAGGUAAGCGGAAUUCGUGGUGUAGCGGUGAAAUGCUUAGAUAUCACGAAGAACCCCGAUUGCGAAGGCAGCUUACUAAACUGUGACUGACAUUGAUGCUCGAAAGUGUGGGUAGCAAACAGGAUUAGAUACCCCAGUAGUC